AUUGACAAAGGCAAACUUAGCGAAAGCUGAGGACGCAAAGCUACGGGUCUUCCACGUAAGGGUGAUGAUAGCCGAGCUGCCACUC
rfam:Desulfosporosinus lacus DSM 15449 genome assembly, contig: EJ50DRAFT_scaffold00001.1